UGCCAGUAGUCAUAUGCUUGUCUCAAAGAUUAAGCCAUGCAUGUCUAAGUUUAAGCAAUAAACAGUGAAACUGCGAAUGGCUCAUUAAAUCAGUCAUAGUUUAUUUGAUGGUACCUUACUACAUGGAUAACUGUGGUAAUUCUAGAGCUAAUACAUGCUGAAAAAUCCCGACUUCUGGAAGGGAUGUAUUUAUUAGAUCCAAAACCAAUGGCCUUCGGGUCCCUAUGGUGAAUCAUGAUAACUGCUCGAAUCGCAUGGCCUUGCGCCGGCGAUGCUUCAUUCAAAUAUCUGCCCUAUCAACUUUCGAUGGUAGGAUAGAGGCCUACCAUGGUAAUGACGGGUAACGGGGAAUAAGGGUUCGAUUCCGGAGAGAGGGCCUGAGAAACGGCCCUCAGGUCUAAGGACACGCAGCAGGCGCGCAAAUUAUCCCCUGGCAACACUUUGCCGAGAUAGUGACAAUAAAUAACAAUGCAGGGCUCUUACGGGUCUUGCAAUUGGAAUGAGUACAAUUUAAAUCCCUUAACGAGGAUCAAUUGGAGGGCAAGUCUGGUGCCAGCAGCCGCGGUAAUUCCAGCUCCAAUAGCGUAUAUUAAAAUUGUUGCCGUUAAAAAGCUCGUAGUCGAACUUCGGGCUCUGUCAGCCGGUCCGCCUUCUUGGUGUGUACUUGUUUGACGGAGCCUUACCUCCUGGUGAACGGCGAUGUCCUUUACUGGGUGUCGUCGCAAACCAGGACUUUUACUUUGAAAAAAUUAGAGUGUUCAAAGCAGGCCUUUGCCCGAAUACAUUAGCAUGGAAUAAUAAAAUAGGACGCGCGUUCCCAUUUUGUUGGUUUCUGAGAUCGCCGUAAUGAUUAAUAGGGAUAGUUGGGGGCAUUUGUAUUCCGUCGUCAGAGGUGAAAUUCUUGGAUUGCCGGAAGACAAACUACUGCGAAAGCAUUUGCCAAGGAUGUUUUCAUUGAUCAAGAACGAAGGAAGGGGGAUCGAAAACGAUUAGAUACCGUUGUAGUCUCUUCUGUAAACUAUGCCAAUUGGGGAUCGGUACAGGAUUUUUAAUGACUGUAUCGGCACCCGAAGAGAAAUCUUUAAAUGAGGUUCGGGGGGGAGUAUGGUCGCAAGGCUGAAACUUAAAGGAAUUGACGGAAGGGCACCACCAGGUGUGGAGCCUGCGGCUUAAUUUGACUCAACACGGG
rnacentral:rRNA from 1 species